GACCAGACUCCUACGGGAGGCAGCAGUCGGGAAUAUUGCGCAAUGGAGGAAACUCUGACGCAGUGACGCCGCGUAUAGGAAGAAGGUUUUCGGAUUGUAAACUAUUGUCGUUAGGGAAGAUACAAGACAGUACCUAAGGAGGAAGCCCCGGCUAACUAUGUGCCAGCAGCCGCGGUAAUACAUAGGGGGCAAGCGUUAUCCGGAUUUACUGGGUGUAAAGGGGGCGCAGACAGCAGCGCAAGCCAGGAGUGAAAGCCCGGGGCCCAACCCGGGGACUGCUCUUGGAACUGCGCGGCUGGAGUGCAGGAGGGGCAGGCGGAAUUCCUGGUGUAGCGGUGAAAUGCGUAGAUAUCAGGAGGAACACCGGUGGCGAAGGCGGCCUGCUGGACUGCGACUGACGUUGAGGCUCGAAAGCGUGGGGAGCGAACAGGAUUAGAUACCCUUGUA
rnacentral:rRNA from 1 species